GGUCGGGUGGCCUAAUGGCUAAGGCAUUGAUUUCCGGUGUCAAAGAUUGCGGGUUCGAGUCCCGUCCUGAUCG